AAUCCCAGAGCUCUUGUGAAGUUACUUUCAUCUAUGGAUGGUUAUUAAAUUGGUGUUUUCAGCUUACAGUGAAAGAUCUUCAGAACACCAAUUCAGUUGCCUUCAGGGUUAAACCAUAAUAUCAACACAAAAUGGAUCAAGAGCCAGUCAUCCUAAAAAGACCACAUGCAUGGCCCCUGAUCUAGCAAAAGUAGUCACAAAUGCAGCUGAAUGUGUGGAAACCUCUAAGAGAAAAUGUGUGAAUCACAGAAAGAGUGGCUCCAGUCAUGGAACGUGGAGAAAGCUGCCACAGAAGCAAAGGCUGCCUAUGCUCAUGCCAGCACUGACAGGGAGAACUCUCCGCCCUCUACCUUGGGUAUUCUGGCUCCAAUGACAGGGCUGUCUCUGGAAUGAAGUUCUGGAUCAUAGUCCUGAGAGAAAUUCCAAGACUCAUCUUUUUUCAUCCAGAUUUCUACACUCCAGAAGGGUAAAGAAAAAGAAAAAGAAAAA
ensembl:lncRNA IQCA1-AS1 IQCA1 antisense RNA 1